CACACUAAAUACGAGCGAAGCACACAAGCGCAUAGACAUAAAGUGCUCACACAUCUUAAAAGUGCGAGGGAGAGAGCGAGAGAGGGACAGAAAAAUAGUCUCUCGGAGCAACUUGCUUUUUUCUCUCGUCUUCGUUGAAUCGCACUGCGAUCGAAAAGUCGCGCAUAUUUUUUUAUCCGCGGGAGAGACGCUCCAUUCAGCGAUCGAGCUUGACAUAAGUGAACCGUCGGCAGCAGAUCCCGCGUCGGAUAUCGAUAAUGAAAAAAAAAAACAAAUAAAUUAAGUAACUAACGUGAUUCUGUGAUCCGUACAAAGAAGCGCGGGUGCCUACGAUUUUAAAGCGAGUGCAAACAAACCAUCAUUCCGGGCGAAUGAAAUUAGUGCGAUCGAGAAAGUGUACGUGAAACAGGCCAUUUGAAUUUCCAAAGAGCAGGAAAGAAUCCAAGCAUACUUGUGGUAAGAGAAAAUUACGUUGCCGUGUAAUGCUGUCGUGAAAAGUGCCCAUUCCCCCUUUUUACUUGUACGUCGUGGAGAAAGAUGGAGGUGAAUGCGCGAUGCAGCGAAAUGUGUUUCCGCAAUAUCUCCAGGGAGUGUUCGUACAAUUGAGAAAAUCCGUGCGAGACAUUGCAACAUAGUGGAUGGUGAUUACCCAGUGCGAUAUAUCAAAGCCUCGACGAUAGUGUCGAAAGGAGAAGAUAUUUAAAAAGAAGACUGCAGCUGCAUUGAAUAUGUGUGAAUUUACGAGACUAAACGGAUGAAAAAAGAAAGAGAGUGAGAGAGCGAGAGAGAGAGAGAGAGAGAUAUAAAUAAGCGGGUAUUCUGGAACCCUCGUGUGUGACAAUACGUGCCUCGUAUGUCUGCAUAGAUCGGCGAUUUUUUCGUGGGGCG